rnacentral:rRNA from 1 species
AAUCCAUAGGUUAAUGAGGCGAACCGGGGGAACUGAAACAUCUAAGUACCCCGAGGAAAAGAAAUCAACCGAGAUUCCCCCAGUAGCGGCGAGCGAACGGGGAGGAGCCCAGAGCCUGAAUCAGCAUGUGUGUUAGUGGAAGCGUCUGGAAAGGCGCGCGAUACAGGGUGACAGCCCCGUACACAAAAGCGCAUGUGCUGUGAGCUCGAUGAGUAGGGCGGGACACGUGGUAUCCUGUCUGAAUAUGGGGGGACCAUCCUCCAAGGCUAAAUACUCCUGACUGACCGAUAGUGAACCAGUACCGUGAGGGAAAGGCGAAAAGAACCCCGGCGAGGGGAGUGAAAAAGAACCUGAAACCGUGUACGUACAAGCAGUGGGAGCACCCUUUGGGUGUGACUGCGUACCUUUUGUAUAAUGGGUCAGCGACUUAUAUUCUGUAGCAAGGUUAACCGAAUAGGGGAGCCGGAGGGAAACCGAGUCUUAACCGGGCGUUAAGUUGCAGGGUAUAGACCCGAAACCCGGUGAUCUAGCCAUGGGCAGGUUGAAGGUUGGGUAACACUAACUGGAGGACCGAACCGACUAAUGUUGAAAAAUUAGCGGAUGACCUGUGGCUGGGGGUGAAAGGCCAAUCAAACCGGGAGAUAGCUGGUUCUCCCCGAAAGCUAUUUAGGUAGCGCCUCGUGAAUUCAUCUCCGGGGGUAGAGCACUGUUUCGGCUAGGGGGCCAUCCCGGCUUACCAACCCGAUGCAAACUGCGAAUACCGGAGAAUGUUAUCACGGGAGACACACGGCGGGUGCUAACGUCCGUCGUGAAGAGGGAAACAACCCAGACCGCCAGCUAAGGUCCCAAAGUCAUGGUUAAGUGGGAAACGAUGUGGGAAGGCCCAGACAGCCAGGAUGUUGGCUUAGAAGCAGCCAUCAUUUAAAGAAAGCGUAAUAGCUCACUGGUCGAGUCGGCCUGCGCGGAAGAUGUAACGGGGCUAAACCAUGCACCGAAGCUGCGGCAGCGACACUGUGUGUUGUUGGGUAGGGGAGCGUUCUGUAAGCCUGUGAAGGUGUGUCGUGAGGCAUGCUGGAGGUAUCAGAAGUGCGAAUGCUGACAUAAGUAGCGAUAAAGCGGGUGAAAAGCCCGCUCGCCGGAAGACCAAGGGUUCCUGUCCAACGUUAAUCGGGGCAGGGUGAGUC